rnacentral:rRNA from 1 species
GAUGAACGCUGGCGGCGUGCCUAAUACAUGCAAGUCGAGCGAACGGACGAGAAGCUUGCUUCUCUGAUGUUAGCGGCGGACGGGUGAGUAACACGUGGAUCAUCUACCUAUCAGACUGGGAUAACUUCGGGAAACCGGAGCUAAUACCGGAUGAUAUUUUGAACCGCAUGGUUCAAAAGUGAAAUACGGUCUUGCUGUCACUUAUAGAUGGAUCUGGGCUGCAUUAGCUAGUUGGUAAGGUAACGGCUUACCAAGGCAACUAUGCAUAGCCGACCUCAGAGGGUGAUCGCCGACACUGGAGCGGGGACACGUACCUGGGUCCUGCGGGAGGCAGCAGUAGGGAAUCGGCCGCAGUAGUGGGAAGCCUUACGGAGCGACGCCGCGUGAGAUAUGAAGGUGUUCCGAGCGUAAUGCUCUGUUAUUAGGUAAGAACAUAUGUGUAAGUAACUGUGCACAUCGUGACGGUACUGAGUCAGAAAGCCACGGCUAACUACGUG